GCCUGGGUGGCUCAGUCGGUUAAGCGUCUGACUUCCGCUCAGAUCAUGCUCUCACGGUUCGUGGGUUCAAGCCCUGCGUUGGGCU
rnacentral:tRNA from 1 species